rnacentral:rRNA from 1 species
UGGGGAAUCUUGGACAAUGGGCGCAAGCCUGAUCCAGCCAUGCCGCGUGGGUGAAGAAGGCCUUCGGGUUGUAAAGCUCUUUUACCAGGGACGAUAAUGACGGUACCUGGAGAAUAAGCCCCGGCAAACUUCGUGCCAGCAGCCGCGGUAAUACGAAGGGGGCUAGCGUUGUUCGGAAUUACUGGGCGUAAAGCGCACGUAGGCGGAUUGUUAAGUCAGAGGUGAAAUCCCGGAGCUCAACUUCGGAACUGCCUUUGAUACUGGCAAUCUAGAGUCCGGAAGAGGUUAGUGGAAUUCCCAGUGUAGAGGUGAAAUUCGUAGAUAUUGGGAAGAACACCAGUGGCGAAGGCGGCUAACUGGUCCGGUACUGACGCUGAGGUGCGAAAGCGUGGGGAGCAAACAGGAUUAGAUACCCCAGUAGUCCCUGAGCGGGCUGGCAAGGCGCAU